rnacentral:sRNA from 1 species
AAGUUCCGGGCCGAGUUCCUGGUGCCCACGAGUCUUGUAAGGUGCGGCUAGAAACUGGGGACAUGGCAGCGCCUGGCCCAGCGCUCUGCCUCUUCGACGUGGAUGGGACCCUCACCGCCCCGCGGCAGAAAAUUACCAAAGAAAUGGAUGACUUCCUGCAAAACUUGAGGCAAAAGAUCAAAAUCGGAGUGGUAGGCGGAUCGGACUUUGAGAAAGUGCAGGAGCAACUGGGAAAUGAUGUGGUUGAAAAAUACGAUUAUGUGUUUCCAGAAAAUGGCUUGGUAGCAUACAAAGAUGGGAAACUCUUAUGUAAACAGAAUAUUCAAAGUCAUCUGGGUGAGGCCCUAAUCCAAGAUUUAAUCAACUACUGUCUGAGCUACAUUGCGAAAAUUAAACUCCCGAAGAAGAGGUGGGUUUGCUUUUAACAAAGAGGCAUCACUGGAACAUAGCGUAGUGUCAUAUGGUGGGUUAAUGUGGGCAUUCUCCAAAUAGGAUUAUAAAAAUCACCUAAAGAGUUUUAAAAACAAAGUCUGAUAUUUAGCCUGCCCCUUGGCAAUUCUGAUUCAGAAAGCCUGAGAGCCGAGCUUGGAAAUCCACGUUUUCUCUGGCUGCCCUGGUGCUGCUGGUUCACAGCAGGGUUCGGUAGCCACCAUGGGCCAGCGAAUUUAAAUCCGAAUCCCAGCACUUAGUAAGGAAUAAUUGGAAACAGUCCCAAAGCCAACAGUACAAGAAUGAUUACGUAAAUGAUGGCUUAUCCACAUGAUGGAAAUUUAUACAGCCAUUGAAGACCAUGUGCUUUCAAAGGCUGUCAGUGAGAGGAAACAGCAGUGAAGCAGCAUGUACAAAAAGCAACAGAAACCCUAGAUCGGGAAGUCUGAGACAGGAAGCCUUUGGGCCAGAUCCACAUAAAACCCAAAUCUGGUUGGCCUGCAGUGUUAAAGGAAAUCGGAUUAAUUGCCGUCAUGUAAAAGUCUGAUUUUAUGUUUGUUUUAUUUAUUUAUGAAUUUAUUUUUGAGACAGAGUCUUACUCUGUGG